rnacentral:rRNA from 1 species
UGGGGAAUUUUGGACAAUGGGGGAAACCCUGAUCCAGCCAUCCCGCGUGUGCGAUGAAGGCCUUCGGGUUGUUAAGCACUUUUGGCAGGAAAGAAACGUCAUGGGUUAAUACCCCGUGAAACUGACGGUACCUGCAGAAUAAGCACCGGCUAACUACGUGCCAGCAGCCGCGGUAAUACGUAGGGUGCAAGCGUUAAUCGGAAUUACUGGGCGUAAAGCGUGCGCAGGCGGUUCGGAAAGAAAGAUGUGAAAUCCCAGAGCUCAACUUUGGAACUGCAUUUUUAACUACCGUGCUAGAGUGUGUCAGAGGGAGGUGGAAUUCCGCGUGUAGCAGUGAAAUGCGUAGAUAUGCGGAGGAACACCGAUGGCGAAGGCAGCCUCCUGGGAUAACACUGACGCUCAUGCACGAAAGCGGGGGGAGCAAACAGG